rnacentral:rRNA from 1 species
AUGUACCGUAUGAAUAAGGAUCGGCUAACUCCGUGCCAGCAGCCGCGGUAAUACGGAGGAUCCGAGCGUUAUCCGGAUUUAUUGGGUUUAAAGGGAGCGUAGAUGGAUGUUUAAGUCAGUUGUGAAAGUUUGCGGCUCAACCGUAAAAUUGCAGUUGAUACUGGAUGUCUUGAGUGCAGUUGAGGCAGGCGGAAUUCGUGGUGUAGCGGUGAAAUGCUUAGAUAUCACGAAGAACUCCGAUUGCGAAGGCAGCUUACUAACCUGUAACUGACAUUGAUGCUCGAAAGUGUGGGUAUCAAACAGGAUUAGAUACCCUGGUAGUCCACACGGUAAACGAUGAAUACUCGCUGUUUGCGAUAUACGGCAAGCGGCCAAGCGAAAGCGUUAAGUAUUCCACCUGGGGAGUACGCCGGCAACGGUGAAACUCAAAGGAAUUGACGGGGGCCCGCACAAGCGGAGGAACAUGUGGUUUAAUUCGAUGAUACGCGAGGAACCUUACCCGGGCUUGAAUUGCAACUGAAUGAUGUGGAGACAUGUCAGCCGCAAGGCAGUUGUGAAGGUGCUGCAUGGUUGUCGUCAGCUCGUGCCGUGAGGUGUCGGCUUAAGUGCCAUAACGAGCGCAACCCUUGUUGUCAGUUACUAACAGGUGAUGCUGAGGACUCUGACAAGACUGCCAUCGUAAGAUGUGAGGAAGGUGGGGAUGACGUCAAAUCAGCACGGCCCUUACGUCCGGGGCUACACACGUGUUACAAUGGGGGGUACAGAGGGCCGCUACCACGCGAGUGGAUGCCAAUCCCUAAAACCCCUCUCAGUUCGGACUGGAGUCUGCAACCCGACUCCAUGAAGCUGGAUUCGCUAGUAAUCGCGCAUCAGCCACGGCGCGGUGAAUACGUUCCCGGGCCUUGUACACACCGCCCGUCAAGCCAUGGGAGCCGGGGGUACCUGAAGUGCGUAACCGCGAGGAUCGCCCUAGGGUAAAACUGGUGACUGGGGCUAAGUCGUAACAAGGUAGCCGUACCGGAAGGUGCGGCUG